CCUCGUUCUCAUUCAUCUCAAACUCCACCACAAUCCCCUCCAUCGAGCUCCCGACCACUACCACAUGGGGUAGUGGACCAUGGCUGUGCCAUCUAUCGGAUCAUAGCUGCACGACAGCGAGAUCCAUAACUUCUGCUCCACCUCAACCCAUGAUAGCUUGUGCUAUUAGAGCAGUAGGGGAAGCAGCCGCAAAUGGUGGAGUUGGUGUGCACAACGGC
rnacentral:lncRNA from 1 species